rnacentral:rRNA from 1 species
UACCAGCACCCCGAGUGGUCGGGACGUUUAUUGGGCCUAAAGCAUCCGUAGCCGGUUCUACAAGUCUUCCGUUAAAUCCACCUGCUUAACAGAUGGGCUGCGGAAGAUACUAUAGAGCUAGGAGGCGGGAGAGGCAAGCGGUACUCGAUGGGUAGGGGUAAAAUCCGUUGAUCCAUUGAAGACCACCAGUGGCGAAGGCGGCUUGCCAGAACGCGCUCGGACGGUGAGGGAUGAAAGCUGGGGGAGCA